UACAGGGGGUGCAAACGUUGCUCGGAAUCAUUGGGCGUAAAGCGCACGUAGGCGGUUCGUUAAGUCGGAUGUGAAAGCCCUCGGCUCAACUGAGGAAGUGCACCCGAAACUGGCGAGCUUGAGUACGAAAGAGGAUCGCGGAAUUCCCGGUGUAGAGGUGAAAUUCGUAGAUAUCGGGAGGAACACCGGUGGCGAAGGCGGCGAUCUGGGGUCGAUACUGACGCUGAGGUGCGAAAAGCGUGGGGGAGCAAACAGG
rnacentral:rRNA from 1 species